UACGUAGGGGGCAAGCGUUGUCCGGAUUUACUGGGCGUAAAGCGCGCGCAGGCGGCAGUGCAAGUAAGGUGUGAAAUCUCCCUGCUCAACGGGGAGGGUGCACUUUAGACUGCACAGCUCGAGGUCGGUAGAGGGGGGUGGAAUUGCUGGUGUAGCGGUGAAAUGCGUAGAUAUCGUAAGGAAGGCCGGUGGCGAAAGCGAGCCUCUGGACAGUUACUGACGCUGAUGCACGAAGGCCAGGGGAGCAAACGGG
rnacentral:rRNA from 1 species